AGUUUGAUCCUGGCUCAGGACGAACGCUGGCGGCGCGCUUAACACAUGCAAGUCGAACGCUCUCACUCCUUCGGGAGUGGGGGAGUGGCGAACGGGUGCGUAACACGUGAGCAACCUGCCCCUGACGCGGGGGAUAACCGGGGGAAACUCCGGCUAAUACCGCAUGAGACCACGACCUCCUCGGGGGACGUGCUUAAAGGUCCUUCACGGGACUGCGCAGGGAGGGGCUCGCGGCGUAUCAGGUAGUUGGUGAGGUAACGGCUCACCAAGCCGAUGACGCGUAGGGGGUCUGAGAGGAUGGCCCCCCACAUUGGGACUGAGAUACGGCCCAGACUCCUACGGGAGGCAGCAGUGGGGAAUCUUGCGCAAUGGCCGAAAGGCUGACGCAGCGACGCCGCGUGCGGGAGGAAGGUCUUCGGAUCGUAAACCGCUGUCAGUGGGGAGGAACGGCCCGGGGAGGCAAUGCCCCGGGUUUGACAGUACCCGCAGAGGAAGCACCGGCUAACUCCGUGCCAGCAGCCGCGGUAAUACGGAGGGUGCAAGCGUUGUUCGGAAUUAUUGGGCGUAAAGCGCACGUAGGCGGCUCUUUAAGUCUCACUGUGAAAGCCUGCGGCUCAACCGCAGGAGGCCAGGGGAUACAGGAGGGCUGGAGAUAGGUAGAGGCGAGCGGAAUUCCGGGUGUAGCGGUGGAAUGCGUAGAGAUCCGGAAGACACCAGAGGCGAAGGCGGCUCGCUGGACCUCACCUGACGCUGAG
rnacentral:rRNA from 1 species